ACCCAAACCUGCCUUGCCAGGCUAACAGCAACCUCUGGCCCUGAAGCCCAUGGCCCCCCAGCCCCCAAACUCCAGCAGGCCCCUUCUGCUGUGCCUCAGGACUCCCCGCCCCUGCCCGCCCUUCCGUCUGUCUGCCUCACUUCCUGACUGGUGAGUUUCAAACCCACAGCCUGGGUCAGCACUACCUCCUGCACCUCCCACUCCCUCUAGUGUUGGCCCAUCAGCUCUGCCAGCCAGCCUCUGCUAAGAUUCCUCUGUCAGGUGGAUGGAGAAACCUUAAUAAGCAUCCAAGCAUCCUAGGGCCUCCUGUGGGAGGUGGCUAAUUAAGAUGGGUGUUGGUGCUGGGAGAAUGUGGCAAGCCAGGUCCCAGGUGCAAUCCUAAACUCUUGGUGACCUACAGAUUUGUGUUCAGUCUCAAGCUUGCAGGAAUCCAUACACACUUGGCCUGUCACUCUUAGAGCCCUGCAUUCCAGUUUAUAGUUGUAAUCACCACCCACUCUACACAUCUAAAGAGCUUACAUCCUUACCUCUUGCAAUGUAACCCUUCCUCAGCCAGGUACCCCACUGCAACCACCUCCUGGUUAAAAGGGUCAAGGGGUCAAGCAGUUAUGGGGAGAAUAGGUUAUGGAGAAGGACAGUAACCUAUAACCAGGCAAAACCACCGUGCUCCAUGUUCAAUUAUUUCCUUAAUAAUUAACUUGUCUAUAACACAAUAGUUAACAACACACCUUCCUAUAUAUCAUCUUCAUGACAGGCCCAAGGGGUAGGAUUAUUAUUCAGCAAAGAAAACUGAAGCUCAGAGAGGCCAAUAGAAAGUGAAACAAAAUGAUGGCUCUAGGUCCUCUAAUUCUGAUACCCUUUCACCACACCAAUUGGUUGGCUGCUUGCCAACCAGUCCCCCUUAACCCUAGUGCCAUUGUCUUGCUCUUGAUUUAGGAUCAG